CUUGAUCAGCCUCUUCCACAUCCAG
rnacentral:sRNA from 1 species